UACAGAGGGUGCGAGCGUUAAUCGGAAUUACUGGGCGUAAAGCGCGCGUAGGCGGCUUUGCAAGUCGGGUGUGAAAUCCCCAGGCUUAACCUGGGAACUGCAUUCGAGACUGCAUUGCUAGAGUAUGGGAGAGGGAAGUGGAAUUUCCGGUGUAGCGGUGAAAUGCGUAGAUAUCGGAAGGAACAUCAGUGGCGAAAGCGACACCCUGGACUCAUACUGACACUGAGGUGCGAAAGCGUGGGGAGCAAACAGG
rnacentral:rRNA from 1 species